rnacentral:rRNA from 1 species
UACGUAGGCAGCAAGCGUUGUUCGGAAUUACUGGGCGUAAAGAGUGUGUAGGCGGUGCUCUAAGUUCGGUGUGAAAUCUCCCGGCUCAACUGGGAGGGUGCGCCGGAAACUGGAAUGCUUGAGCGUGGGAGAGGAAAGCGGAAUUCCCGGUGUAGCGGUGAAAUGCGUAGAUAUCAGGAGGAACACCUGCGGUGUAGACGGCUUUCUGGACCAUUGCUGACGCUGAGACACGAAAGCGUGGGUAGCAAACAGG